rnacentral:rRNA from 1 species
CUAUCAUGCAAGUCGAGCGCGCCCUUCGGGGUGAGCGGCGGACGGGUGAGUAACCUUGGGAAUAUGCCCUUCUCUAAGGAAUAGCCUCUGGAAAACGGAGAGUAAUACCUUAUACGCCCUUUGGGGGAAAGAUUUAUCGGAGAAGGAUUAGCCCGCGUUAGAUUAGGUAGUUGGUGGGGUAAUGGCCUACCAAGCCUACGAUCUAUAGCUGGUUUGAGAGGAUGAUCAGCCACACUGGGACUGAGACACGGCCCAGACUCCUACGGGAGGCAGCAGUAGGGAAUCUUAGACAAUGGGGGCAACCCUGAUCUAGCCAUGCCGCGUGUGUGAUGAAGGCCCUAGGGUCGUAAAGCACUUUCGCCAGAGAUGAUAAUGACAGUAUCUGGUAAAGAAACCCCGGCUAACUCCGUGCCAGCAGCCGCGGUAAUACGGAGGGGGUUAGCGUUGUUCGGAAUUACUGGGCGUAAAGCGCACGUAGGCGGAUUAGUAAGUUAGAGGUGAAAUCCCAGGGCUCAACCCUGGAACUGCCUUUAAUACUGCUAGUCUUGAGUUCGAGAGAGGUAAGUGGAAUUCCGAGUGUAGAGGUGAAAUUCGUAGAUA